rnacentral:rRNA from 1 species
UACGUAGGGGGCAAGCGUUGUCCGGAAUUAUUGGGCGUAAAGAGCGUGUAGGCGGUCCGGUAAGUCGGCUGUGAAAGUCCGGGGCUCAACCCCGGACUUGCAGUGGGUACGGGCAGACUAGAGUGUGGUAGGGGAGACUGGAAUUCCUGGUGUAGCGGUGGAAUGCGCAGAUAUCAGGAGGAACACCGAUGGCGAAGGCAGGUCUCUGGGCCAUUACUGACGCUGAGAAGCGAAAGCAUGGGGAGCGAACAGG